AUUGAACGCUGGCGGCAGGCCUAACACAUGCAAGUCGAACGGUAACAGGAAGAAGCUUGCUUCUUUGCUGACGAGUGGCGGACGGGUGAGUAAUGUCUGGGAAACUGCCUGAUGGAGGGGGAUAACUACUGGAAACGGUAGCUAAUACCGCAUAACGUCGCAAGACCAAAGAGGGGGACCUUCGGGCCUCUUGCCAUCGGAUGUGCCCAGAUGGGAUUAGCUAGUAGGUGGGGUAACGGCUCACCUAGGCGACGAUCCCUAGCUGGUCUGAGAGGAUGACCAGCCGCACUGGAACUGAGACACGGACCAGACUCCUAAGGGAGGCAGCAGUGGGGAAUAUUGCACAAUGGGCGCAAGCCUGAUGCAGCCAUGCCGCGUGUGUGAAGAAGGCCUUCGGGUUGUAAAGUACUUUCAGCGGGGAGGAAGGGAGUAAAGUUAAUACCUUGGCUCAUUGACGUUACCCGCAGAAGAAGCACCGGCUAACUCCGUG
rnacentral:rRNA from 1 species